GCUCGGCGUGGUAGUGCACGCCUGUAAUCCCAGUGACCUGGGAGGCUGAGGCAGGAGGAUUAUGAGUUCAAAGCCAGCCUCAGCCACUUAGCAAGGCUCUAAGCAACUCAUUGAGACCCUGUCUCUA
rnacentral:sRNA from 1 species